rnacentral:rRNA from 1 species
UACAGAGGGGGCGAGCGUUAAUCGGAAUUACUGGGCGUAAAGCGCACGUAGGGGGCGACGUAAGUCGGGUGUGAAAGCCCCGGGCUCAACCUGGGAAUUGCAUUCGAGACUGCAUUGCUGGAGUACGGAAGAGGAGGGCUGAAUUCCCGGUGUAGCGGUGAAAUGCGUAGAUAUCGGGAGGAACAUCAGUGGCGAAGGCGGCCCUCUGGUCCAGUACUGACACUCAAGUGCGAAAGCGUGGGGAGCAAACAGG